CGAUGAAAUGAUCGGCGGAAUGCAGAACGAAAAAGAGCCCAUGAUGCCUGGCCGGCAUCAUGGGCUCUUUUUCGGCUUGAAAGCGGCUCGUUAAAGAAGAGAUUG
rnacentral:sRNA from 1 species